UACGAAGGGUGCAAGCGUUAAUCGGAAUUACUGGGCGUAAAGCAUGCGUAGGCGGUUUGUUAAGUCCGUUGUGAAAGCCCUGGGCUCAACCUGGGAAUUGCAGUGGAUACUGGCAAGCUAGAGUCAGGUAGAGGGUGGUGGAAUUCCCGGUGUAGCGGUGAAAUGCGUAGAGAUCGGGAGGAACAUCUGUGGCGAAGGCGGCCACCUGGACCAUGACUGACGCUGAGGCACGAAAGCGUGGGGAGCAAACAGGG
rnacentral:rRNA from 1 species